UGUCACAGAAAUCCCGCCACCUAUUCCACAACCCCAAUCCGAAACCGAGUCUCCAAAUGCGGCUCCAGAGAAUCAAAAGCAGCAGCUAAUCCUGCGUGGUAAGCGUCCGGACCCUGAAAAAUUAGAGGAUAUAAUAUGCAGAAUGAUGGCCAGUCGGGCCUGGACGACGCGGUUGCAGAACUCAAUCCGGGAUUUGGUUCCCGAAUUUGACCACUCUUUAGUCUAUAAUGUUCUGCACGGUGCUCGUAACUCUGAGCACGCCCUCCAGUUCUUCAGGUGGGUUGAGCGGGCUGGGUUGUUUCGGCACGACCGUGAGACCCAUACGAAGAUUAUUGAGAUUUUGGGUCGAGCUUCGAAGCUCAAUCACGCUCGUUGUAUUCUCUUGGAUAUGCCAAAGAAGGGGGUUGAGUGGGAUGAGGAUAUGUUUGUAGUGCUAAUUGAGAGUUAUGGUAAGGCUGGGAUAGUUCAAGAAGCUGUUAAGAUAUUUCAGAAAAUGAAUGAAUUGGGUGUGGAGAGGUCAGUUAAGAGUUAUGAUACUUUGUUUAAGGUGAUCUUGAGGAGAGGGAGAUAUAUGAUGGCUAAGAGGUUUUUUAAUAAGAUGCUGAGUGAAGGGAUUGAGCCAACUAGGCA
rnacentral:misc_RNA from 1 species